rnacentral:lncRNA from 1 species
AAAUCGAAACCGAAACCGAAUAAGGAAAUGAAAAUCGAAAAAGGAAAAAGAAAACGAAUAAGGAAACGAAAAAAAGUCUUCUGAAAAAAAAUUUGAGAAAAAAAAAAUUUUGAAAGAAAAAAAUAUUCAGUUUGGAAUUGUAAUAUUUUUUUAAAAUUUGAAUAUCGAAAAAGGAAAUGGAAACUGAAUAAGGAAAUAGAAACCGAAUAAGGAAAUGAAAAUCGAAUAAGGAAAAAGAAACCGAAUAAGGAAUGAUAAUCGAAAAUGGAAAAAGAAAACGAAUAAGGAAACGAAAAAAAAUUUUGAAGAAAACUUUUCGAGGAAAAAUAUUUUGAGGGAAA